GGAAUCUUCGGGCAAUGGGGGCAACCCUGACCGAGCAACGCCGCGUGAGUGAAGAAGGUUUUCGGAUCGUAAAGCUCUGUUGUAAGAGAAGAACGUGUGUGAGAGUGGAAAGUUCACACAGUGACGGUAACUUACCAGAAAGGGACGGCUAACUACGUGCCAG
rnacentral:rRNA from 1 species